UAAAUAUAAUUAGUAUGUCUAAUUUGUAUUUGUUUGUGUUCAUGUAUUGUAUAGAUAUACGUUGCUACGCAUGUGUAUGUAUAUAUAUAAAAAUAUACGAUGAAUGAGAUAUGAAUUGAUAAGAACAGAGUUGAUAAAAACAGAACUAAUAAGAGCAAAUACGUGAAUAAAUAUAUAUGUAUGGUAUGUUGCGCGUGAUUGUGUAUACGUGUUUAAGUAUGAACACGUGUGUAUAUAUCAGUGGAGAUUGUGUGUGUGUGAAUACAAAUAUGUAUUCUGUUUGAGACAUGUAAUGAUGAUACAUGUAUGUAUUAUAAUAUAUGUGUGUGUAUUAAUAUGUGUGUACAUAUGUUAUGCAUGUGAAAUAUAUAACCAGCGUGUGUAUAUGUAGAAUUUAGGUACACUGUGCUUGUUGUGUGAUCUGGUGUAGAUGUAAGACGCACUGUACUUAUUGUGUGAUCUAGUAUAAUUGUGCGAGAAAUCUAAGUAUCUUGUGCUUACUAUGUGAUCUGGUACAAGAUGAUUCAGAAAGUAGUUUGAAAUAUAUGUCUCUGAUGUGCAUGAUGAUAUCUUAUAUUUUUUGUGUGUGUUUGUAUUCUAUUAUGUGUAGAAAUGAAGAUCUUAUAUAUAAAAUAAGUGAAUUGAAAAUGAGAGAGAUUUGGAAAGAAUAUAGAGUUUAAAGACUCUUGAUACCUACUCGUUUAGUCUUAAUCGAUGAAGGGAGUGUGUGUGCGUGGUUGAAGUUCAG
rnacentral:lncRNA from 1 species